AUACUUACCUGGCAGGAGAGAUACCAUGAUCACGAAGGUGGUUUUCCCAGGGCGAGGCUUACCCAUUGCACUCCGGGUGUGCUGACCCCUGCGAUUUCCCCAAAUGUGGGAAACUCGACUGCAUAAUUUGUGGUAGUGGGGGACUGCGUUCGCGCUCUCCCCUG
rnacentral:snRNA from 1 species